rnacentral:tRNA from 1 species
GCUUGGAUAUCUCAGCUGGUUAGAGUGUGGUGCUGAUAACCCCAAGGUUGCAGGUUCGAUCCCUGUAUGGGACA